ACAGCUUCACCAUCACCUGCUCCAUUCAGCCACAUUACCCAGGAGGCUCCUUCCUCCUUACAUUCAUUGGCUCCAACAGAACCCAGACCCAGCCAGCUGUCAAUCACUCUUCUGCCUUCCUCUUCCCUGCUGCUGAUGACUCCAAUCAAGGGAACUACAGCUGUGUUUAUAAAAUUUACAUUUUCUCUUCUCAUUUCUCCUCUGAGAGUGAGCUCCUCUCCCUCACUGUCACAGUCUCUCUUCUGACAACAACUUCCAGCAGCAGAGCCAUGAUGGUGCUGCUGGCAUUUAUGACCAUAACCAUGGCCAUCGUUAUGUGCUCACUCUUUUGCCUAUAUUUCACCAACGCAUGGAACUGUCUUCUGUGUAUUCCAGGUCUGAGUUACAGAGAGGAGAGAGAGCAGCUCAGAGAAUAUGAGCAGGAGGAGUGGCUGGAGACAACUGUUUGAACAAACUGCACAACAUCAAAGAAAAAACAUUUGUCCAUUUUCUCAAAUGUAUCUCCUGCACUAAUUAAUGUUAUUUCAGAUUGUAAACAGCUUAUUACCGAUUAUGGAUUAAGGUUAUGCAUAUCCCAUAUCCU